rnacentral:rRNA from 1 species
CCUACGGGAGGCUGCAGUGGGGAAUAUUGGGCAAUGGGCGAAAGCCUGACCCAGCAAUGCCGCGUGUGUGAAGAAGGUCUUCGGAUUGUAAAGCACUAUAUUGGGGAAGAACACAAUGACGGUACCCAAGAGAAAAAGCCCCGGCUAACUAUGUGCCAGCAGCCGCGGUAAUACAUAGGGGGCUAGCUUUGUCCGGAAUUACUGGGCGUAAAGGGUGCGUAGGUGGUAGUGUAUGUUGGAAGUGUAAUCCCUCGGGCUUAACUCAGGGGCUGCUUCCAAAACUACAUUGCUUGAGUAUCGGAGAGGAAAACGGAAUUCCUAGUGUAGCGGUGAAAUGCGUAGAUAUUAGGAGGAACACCAGAGGCGAAGGCGGUUUUCUGGACGAUAACUGACACUGAGGCACGAAAGCGUGGGGAGCGAAUGGGCUUAGAUACCCCGGUAGUC